ACAUGCAAGUCGAGCGGGGUCCAACCGGUGGCAACACCGGGGACGGCCGAGCGGCGAACGGGUGAGGAACACGUGAGCAACCUGCCCCGAAGUCCGGGAUAACACCGGGAAACCGGUGCUAACACCGGAUGUCCUCCCUCUGGCGCAUGCCAGGAGGAGGAAAGGUUACGCUUCGGGAGGGGCUCGCGGCCUAUCAGCUUGUUGGUGGGGUCACGGCCCACCAAGGCGACGACGGGUAGCUGGUCUGAGAGGACGGCCAGCCACACUGGGACUGAGACACGGCCCAGACUCCUACGGGAGGCAGCAGUGGGGAAUCUUGCGCAAUGGGCGAAAGCCUGACGCAGCAACGCCGCGUGCGGGACGAAGGCCUUCGGGUUGUAAACCGCUUUCAGCAGGGACGAAACUGACGGUACCUGUAGAAGAAGCCCCGGCCAACUACGUGCCAGCAGCCGCGGUAAUACGUAGGGGGCGAGCGUUGUCCGGAUUUAUUGGGCGUAAAGAGCUCGUAGGCGGCUGGGCAAGUCGGGUGUGAAAACUCCAGGCUCAACUUGGAGACGCCACUUGAUACUGCCCUGGUUUGAGUCCGGUAGGGGAGCGCGGAAUUCCUGGUG
rnacentral:rRNA from 1 species